rnacentral:rRNA from 1 species
GAUGAACGCUGGCGGCGUGCCUAAUACAUGCAAGUCGAGCGAACAGACGAGGAGCUUGCUCCUCUGACGUUAGCGGCGGACGGGUGAGUAACACGUGGAUAACCUACCUAUAAGACUGGGAUAACUUCGGGAAACCGGAGCUAAUACCGGAUAAUAUAUUGAACCGCAUGGUUCAAUAGUGAAAGACGGUUUUGCUGUCACUUAUAGAUGGAUCCGCGCCGCAUUAGCUAGUUGGUAAGGUAACGGCUUACCAAGGCGACGAUGCGUAGCCGACCUGAGAGGGUGAUCGGCCACACUGGAACGGGGACACGGUCCAGACUCCUACGGGAGGCAGCAGUAGGGAAUCUUCCGCAAUGGGCGAAAGCCUGACGGAGCAACGCCGCGUGAGUGAUGAAGGUCUUCGGAUCGUAAAACUCUGUUAUUAGGGAAGAACAAAUGUGUAAGUAACUAUGCACGUCUUGACGGUACCUAAUCAGAAAGCCACGGCUAACUACGUG